AAAUGUAGUCCUCAAACCUUCCAGCAGAAGGAGGCACUCUGGGAGGAGUUCUAUUCAGGACACCUUUUUAGAAAUUAAAAUUCCCAAAGUUCACAGGCUAGGAGUUACAGCGCCCACCCGUUAGUACGGCCUUGGGCUUCAAGAGCAAAGCGCAGAAGGAGAGUGGAAAGGAAAGUGCCUACAACUCCCAGAGCGCCACGCGGGAGGCGUCCCGGCGCUGCCCGCUGCAGUCGCCGAGCGGCGCCGCGCUUUCUGUGAGGCCCGCCUGUCGCUUGCCGGUCCUACCCGCGCUCGUCGCCCUCUCGCCCGCCCCGCAGCCGGCGCCUCGGUCUCGCCUUCCGCGAAGGCGGCCCGAUCUGCCCUUCACAGCCGCCUCUGUCCACUAAGGUCACCGAGGGGCCCGAGGCGCCACCGGCCCUUCUCGGAGGCCCUCGCUACUCCCGCUCCAUUCCCCCAAAUGCUCUGGACUCCCGGGAUGCUCUGGGGACAGGACAGACGCGGUCCCUGCUGCCACGAAAGUCCCUGCUUGCAGACUGUUGGAAUUGAGAAUCUCGAAGCAGAGAAGAAGAACUACAACACGCGAUCAUUGCUAUGAAAGAAACAUGGUCCCGUAGAGAGAAAAGCCGAUUUUAGGUGGGCCAACUCAGGCCCUUUGGUCUCCACCACGCCUCCCACCCGUGUCUUGGUGCGGGGACGUGAGCAUAAUCGCAUAUUUCCGUGUCUUUGAAGGUAUAUGGGGGGCAACACCCCCGCCGCCCCCCGACGGGAUCCCUGCACAGGACCUGGCAUUUCCCUGCCUGGACGCUGCUGUAAAGUCAGGAGAGACUAAAUGGAAACCACGGAUUCCUAGAUGCGGCUCCCGUGAACCUUUGGGCUAUUUGGGGGGAACCUUUGCAGUGUUUGAACUUAUAGGCCCUCUCCUGCUUUCCACAGACAAUGUUGCCAGACACAUUAGGGGGCUCCGUAAAUAUUUGAGCACCUCUUAAUAUGUCAAAAUGUCCAGAUUCAGAGACAGGAAGAAGCACAGCGCUCCCAGCAUCCAACUCUGGCGGGGCUCAGCAAGCCUGGGCAGGGGGUUGGCAGGUGUAGAAGGCACUUUUACCACUGAGGAUUCAUCCGUAUUUCCUUCCAGCUCACAUUCUGCGGUAGAUUUAAAUGCUUGAAAUCCUCUCACAGUCCCUCAUCACCUAUACGAUGAAAUUCAAGCUCCUUAGCACAAUUUGGAAGCCCUUUCGCGGUUUGGAGGUUGUCUAACUGACCAGGUUCAACUGCCUCUCCUUGCCUGGAACUUGCCAGGCUCGCGAAUUCAGAACAUUUGUAGGUCCCUCGUUGUUUCAUGUUUUCCCUAAAAUUCUUUGUCUCCCAGCCAACAAUCCUUUGUCCGUCCCGCCCCCCCCCCCCCCAACUAUCCUUUAGACUUGAGUCUGGUCCCUCAGAACUAUCUGCUCUUCUUGAGGGUUUCUGGGGAUUCUAGAACAGCUGGGGUUGAAGCAUGGCUCCCCAUUCUGGAUCUGGGGCUGCUUCUAGAACCUGCUUCUCACAGCUUCCUUGUUGGCCAAGCAGUGGUGAUAUUAGUACCUCUCCUCACACAACUGCUAUGGACAUGAUAUAGGAUGAUACGGGUAUGGAACUUAUCCAGAUAAAUGUUAGAUAAGGUAACAAGAACAGCCGAUGGCUAUGUGUGCCAAGCCCUGUUCAAAGUGUUAUAUGUUCCAAGUGUCAUAUGUUAAGUGAUUUAACUCUUCUCAUCUUCACAACAGCCUUGUGAAAGUCUUAUCAGCAUUCUCAUUGUGCAAAUGAGGGAACCGCCCAAGUGACUUUCCAGGGUCACCCUGCCGGGUCAAGAAUGGUGCCAGGAAUUGAACCGAAGCUGUCCGAUUGCAGAGAUCACACCAUGCUAUGGUGCCUCUCAGGAAAAGCUCUGGAAACGCCACCUUCGUCAACGAGGACAGGUCCCAGGCCAGUGUCUAAAGCACAGAGGAAAUGUUAAGUGCUCCAAUAGCUGUGGACCUACCAUGAUCUUCCCAUCUCCCUGGCUCUUGCGCUUAACUUCUAGCAGGCCAUCUGCUUCCAGUCUGCUGACUUGAGCUGAGAUCCUGCCCUCACCCCCCAGAAUGUUGCCUCUUGAUCACUGAUAGUGCACAGACAUCUUUGGGAAGGUUCAUAGGGAGGCUGGUUCACUCAGCUCGUAGCAACUGAGCACCCAGUUACUGAGGGUACAUCCUGAAUGGUGGGAAUUGAAAUUCCUGUGGGCUCCUGCGCAGUGGAGCCUCCUGAAGAGACCCCUGAACUGCUAACAGACAACCAGCUGGUGGGAAAGGUGGGGCCUCGCUGGAGCUCAAAACUAAUGGCACUUCUCGUGCACCCUUUUCACUCAUUCAUUCUUAGAGCCAACAAGUAUUGAGUGCACAUUCAGUGCCAGGUACUCUCAGGCACCAGACACAGCAUUUAGUAAGGACCUGAAUGGAGAGAAACAGUGUGCACAUGUAGACCUAGCGACAGAAUGUUCUGCACAAGAAGAGGUGUGAAGGCUCUGGAGUGUGAGCAAGCUUGAUGUGUUCCAGAAAUGAGAUGAGGAUACCUGGAGCAUGAACCGUGAUUCCUGCUGGAGCAGGAAUUGAGAGCCACACCCUCAGGGGUGCUACUGUCACACAGCUGCUGUCACCACCACGGCCUGAGGGGCCACCAGAAUCCUGGGCUGGGAUGGCUCCUCCCUCCCUCCUGUCUUCUGAAGCCCUGCUGGUGCCUCCUGGAGGCAGGGUCACCUGACCAGGGCAUCUGGGAAAUGAGGUUUGCAGGCUCCCGGUCCUGGCUGCGAAGAAGAGCCUACAAAGGCAAGCGCAGGAUGGGAACCACAGACGCCAUUCCCACACCAGCCACUGCACACUUCUGUACGAGGAGGGAAACAAGUAUGUGUUCAACAAAUUACUGCACGGAUGCUUCAUAGCACGUAGUAGGCAUGCGGGAAAGGCAAACAGCAACACCUUUAGUAUAAUAUAUUAUACUAAACACCUUUAUAUAAACACCUUUCGUAUAAUAUUUUAACGUGAAGGUCUGAACUUCUGAUGUGAGGCAUCAAAAAUCAGCAUUUUUAAAAUAGAAUUUUAAAUCCGAAUGGGUGAUGUAUUCACCCAUCGAAUUCAAAUUGCAAAGCAAUAUGCGGCGAAGAUAAGUUUCUCGUAUCCUGUCUUCUCAUUGCCUCAUCCUUGACUCCUCCUAAAGCUAUCGCUGGUUCCUUUCUUCUGUGUCUACGGAUCGUCCAGACCGGGGCAAGGGUAUGCGUCUAUUCAAAACAACUGUUUUCUUUGACCCACAGGGUGCGUGCCACGCACACAGCUCCGGGACUCGCGUUUCUCUCUCCACCGAAUCUUGGAGGUCGCUCUCAGCACACACCACUUUGUCUUACCAGCACCAUGAUUUUCCUAGCCAGCCUCCUGUAGUCUUUUACCGUUUCCGAGAGGGCUGCGGUGCGUACGCUUGCACAACUUCCUAGUGCCCGUGCGCAUGUCUUCCUGUGGGAUCAUUUCCGAAAGGGAACUUGCUGGGUCAAAGGCUGUGGGCGCUUGUCACUGUGAUAAAUACGGCCCGACCGUCCUCCGCUCCCACCAGCGGGGGCUGUUUUCCCGAAGCGUCAUCGGCACCCUCUUCACGCCGCCCCCUUGGAGGCCCCAGACGUGGAGGGACAGAGAUAAGCCCUCCCUGCUGUGCCCUGUCUGGAUUCCUGACCCACAGACUGCAUGAGCAGGAUCAAAUGGCUGCUGCUCUAUGCCUCCGUGAAGUGGCCGGUUACGCGGCAGUAGGCAGCUGGAACAGCCCCUUCCUAAACUCCUUUUGGCACAGCUCUCCACUUGGUGAGACAAAAGUGGGCCUACCUGUGCUCCCUGCUGCAAAAGCGCAGUCGUUAGCCCAACUGCAGCUGGCCAGUGUCCUUCCAGGAUGUUCCUGGGGAGCCUCCGUCAUCCCACCCAUCGGCAGGCCACCUCGGAUGCAGAAAAGGCCCCGGUGUGUGUGCAGAAACCGCACUCUUCGGGAACCCCCAGCACAUGCCGUUCACGCCCGUUGAGAUAAAACAGUUGCCACAGCUUCACACAGCGAGUCUGGGAAAGGCACAGAUCGCUCCUAAUUUAUCUUCUUGGUGGAGACUGAUAGUGGUCAGCAUGAGCGAGCCCAGUGUGGGGCUGGAUCCCGUGAACCGUGUAAUCAUGACCUGAGCUGAAACCAAGAGUCGGACGCCGAACCAACUGGGCCACCCAGGUGCCCCUAUGGGAACGUUCCCGUGUUGAUAUGAGGAGGAAAUAGGCAAACUGGGCCAAGAUGGUUUGGUAAUAAUAGUGCCUUUUUGCAGUGCAUCGUAUGGCCUGCGCCUCCCUCGGGAGCAUGAGGUAGGCAAGACAUCCAUUCGUAUAUUGAUUUCGCAGCCGGACUGGGGCUGGGGGAUGGCAGGGGAAGGGAGGCGAUUCAGGAUAUAUUCCCAGGACAUUGAAACAUACUGUGUAUUCAUUCGCUAGGGCUGCCACAACAAAGUACUACAGACCGGUCCUCACAUGACCUCCUGUGCGCAUGCGCGCGCGCACACACACACACACACACACACACACACACACACACACACUCCUCGUGUCUCCCUGUGGGCCCAGAUUUUCUCUUCUUCUGAAGUAGCCAGUCAGAUCGGGUCAGGGCCACCCAUGUGACCUCAUUUCACCUCACUUGCCUCUUUAAAGACUAUCUCCAAUACAGCCCCAUUCUGAGGUCCCGGACUUCAACAUAUGAAUUUUGGGGUGACACAACUCUGCCCAGAAACACACUGUUGCCUAGUUUGGACUGAGGCCACCAUAUGUAGCAAGUCUCUGUGCCCUGCGGUGACCGUUGCCAACAUCCAGCCUAAAAGAAGUUGGCGAUCCAAAGGAACAUUGAUUCGGGACAAGGACGUGUGGGGUGACGACACUUGCCCUGGGCCCCGUGGGUUGGGCUGCUGUGGGCUGGUGGGUGGCUGCACGCGAAGCUGUCUAAAAGGCACCCGUGCUCUCGCCAGCACUAUUCAGUCACCAAACGAUGGAACUACCCACGGAUGAAUGGAUAAACCCACACGAUGGAGUAUUAUUUGGCCAUUAAAAAAGUGGGAUGAAAAUGUUCUGGAAGCAGGCAGACGUGAUGAUCGGCAUUUGUGCCAGACCCUUAGUCCACCCUCACUAGUGCUCCUUGAUGGGUUCACUCUUUGAGCACUGAAAUAUAUUUAUUUAAAUGGGAAACUCUAUGUGACCAUCCAAAUGUAAUGUCUGUAUCAUAGGCAGGACCUUACAAAAAUAAAUACAAUAAAACAACAAAAAAAAGGUUAUUAGAUUCUAGUUAGAUAUUGUCGCUCCCCUAAAGCUCCCUCAGAAAGGGGGGCACUUGCCCCCUAGGUGAGAUGUUGCCAUUUAACUCUGGGCUCCGCACGACCCAGGACCACCUUGCUGGCCAGCCAGCCUUUGAGGAAAUACAGCCUCACACUAAGUAAGGAGCACUCCCCAAAUCCCAGUGGGGGGGCAGGGGAGGAUUUCUCACUCUCUCUCUUUCUCUCUCUCUCUGUAUCCAGGCCUGAAAACACAGGCUUCUUGUUCAUAUGCCUGACCUGCAAAUGGACUGGGCUGCCUGGAUUCCUCACAGAGAGGGUCCCAGAGACACUCCGUGAGAUGUCCAAGCCCGUGAAGUGGGAGACCUGGGUUUGCGUCCUGACUCCGGCACCUAGAGGGGACUUAACUGUUCGCUCAUUCGACAAACAUUCCUACGCUCCAAAGACUGUGCGGCAGCGGGGGGCAGGGGGGGGCUGGCAAUGCACAAGGUGGGUGCAGUCCUGCUCUUUGGGAGCUUUUAUUUCAGUGGCAAGAGUUGGUCAACAAGCAAGGACGCAAGGAAGAAAACUCCAAGUAGUGAUGCAGGAUCAGAAUAAGAUGGGGAAAUGAGGUGAAGGGUGCCCAGGGAGGCACCAUUAGAUGGCGAGGUCAGGAAGGGCAGCAUCCACCUUUCCUCUUGCCUAGAAUAUGGCUGUGAUGCCUGCAGGUAUGGGAGCCAUUUUGUGACCAGGAAGCAACAAUCAGGAGGGCAAAAGUCAGCAUAGAAAGGGGAUGUAGACGGGGGGGGGGGCGCCUGGGUGGCGCAGUCGGUUAAGCGUCCGACUUCAGCCAGGUCACGAUCUCGCGGUUCGUGAGUUCGAGCCCCGCGUCAGGCUCUGGGCUGAUGGCUCGGAGCC